rnacentral:rRNA from 1 species
CCUACGGGAGGCAGCAGUGAGGAAUAUUGGUCAAUGGGCGGAAGCCUGAACCAGCCAAGUAGCGUGAGGGAUGAAGGCCCUACGGGUCGUAAACCGCUGUUGCACGGGGAUAACACCCGCCACUUGUGGAGGUCUGCAGGUACCGUGCGAAUAAGGGCCGGCUAAUCCCGUGCCAGCAGCCGCGGUAAUACGGAGGGCCCGGGCGUUAUCCGGAUUCAUUGGGCUAAAAGGGGGCGUAGGCGGGCGUUCAAGUCAGCUGUAAAAUCGCGGGGCUCAACCGCGCCCCGCCGUUGAAACUGGGCGCCUUGAGUUCACGACAGGCAGGCGGAAUUCGUGGUGUAGCGGUGAAAUGCAUAGAUAUCACGAGGAACCCCGAUUGCGAAGGCAGCCUGCCGGGGUGCGACUGACGCUGAGGCUCGAAAGUGCGGGUAUCAAACAGGAUUAGAUACCCUGGUAGUC